rnacentral:rRNA from 13 species
CAAAAUAGAUCCGUAACUUCGGGAAAAGGAUUGGCUCUAAGGGUUGGGUGCAUCGGGCCUUGAUUUGAAGCCAUAGGACCAGCUAGGGACUGUUGGGGGCGACCUCGACGGACUCGUGCAGGACCCGUGUGUGGAGGAUCUUGGCUGCCUUCGGGCGUCCGGUGUACGCUUAACAACCGACUUAGAACUGGUACGGACAAGGGGAAUCUGACUGUCUAAUUAAAACAUAGCAUUGCGAUGGUCUCUACGGACGUUGACGCAAUGUGAUUUCUGCCC